rnacentral:rRNA from 1 species
GGGUUGUGAGGUUAAGCGAAUAAGCGUACACGGUGGAUGCCUAGGCAAUCAGAGGCGAUGAAGGACGUGCUAAUCUGCGAAAAGCGUCGGUAAGGUGAUAUGAACCGUUAUACCCGACGAUAUCCGAAUGGGGAAACCCAGUAUCCAAUGGAUACUAUCAUUAACUGAAUCCAUAGGUUAAUGAGGCGAACCGGGAGAACUGAAACAUCUCAGUACCCCGAGGAAAAGAAAUCAACCGAGAUUCCCCUAGUAGCGGCGAGCGAACGGGGAGCAGCCCAGAGUCUUAAUCAAUAGCAGUGUCAGGAGAACGGUCUGGAAAGUCCGGCAGUAAAGGGUGAUAGCCCCGUAUCUGAAGAUGCUGUUAUUGUGAACUCGACGAGUAGGGCGGGACACGUGUUAUCCUGUCUGAAUAUGGGGGGACCAUCCUCCAAGGCUAAAUACUCCUGAUUGACCGAUAGUGAACCAGUACCGUGAGGGAAAGGCGAAAAGAACCCCGGCGAGGGGAGUGAAAAAGAACCUGAAACCGUGUACGUACAAGCAGUAGGAGCCUCUUUAUGGGGUGACUGCGUACCUUUUGUAUAAUGGGUCAGCGACUUAUAUUCUGUAGCAAGGUUAACCGUAUAGGGGAGCCGUAGGGAAACCGAGUCUUAACUGGGCGAAUGAGUUGCAGGGUAUAGACCCGAAACCCGGUGAUCUAUCCAUGGGCAGGUUGAAGGUUGGGUAACACUAACUGGAGGACCGAACCGACUAAUGUUGAAAAAUUAGCGGAUGACUUGUGGAUGGGGGUGAAAGGCCAAUCAAACCGGGAGAUAGCUGGUUCUCCCCGAAAGCUAUUUAGGUAGCGCCUCGUGAACUCAUCUUCGGGGGUAGAGCACUGUUUCGACUAGGGGGUCAUCCCGACUUACCAACUCGAUGCAAACUGCGAAUACCGAAGAAUGUUAUCACGGGAGACACACGGCGGGUGCUAACGUCCGUCGUGAAGAGGGAAACAACCCAGACCGCCAGCUAAGGUCCCAAAGUCAUGGUUAAGUGGGAAACGAAGUGGGAAGGCUCAGACAGCCAGGAUGUUGGCUUAGAAGCAGCCAUCAUUUAAAGAAAGCGUAAUAGCUCACUGGUCGAGUCGGCCCGCGCGGAAGAUGUAACGGGGCUAAACCAUGCACCGAAGCUGCGGCAGCGACACAAAGUGUUGUUGGGUAGGGGAGCGUUCUGUAAGCCUGCGAAGGUGUACUGUGAGGUAUGCUGGAGGUAUCAGAAGUGCGAAUGCUGACAUAAGUAACGAUAAUGCGGGUGAAAAACCCGCACGCCGGAAGACCAAGGGUUCCUGUCCAACGUUAAUCGGGGCAGGGUGAGUCGACCCCUAAGGCGAGGCUGAAAAGCGUAGUCGAUGGGAAACGGGUUAAUAUUCCCGUACUGGUGGUAACUGCGAUGGGGGAACGGAGAAGGCUAGGUUGUCCGGGCGACGGUCGUCCCGGUUCAAGCAGGUAGGCAGAGUGAUUAGGCAAAUCCGGUCACUUAAUGCUGAGAUGUGAUGACGAACCACCAAGGUGGUGAAGCAAUUGAUGCCCCGCUUCCAGGAAAAGCCUCUAAGCUUCAGGUUACCAACAAUCGUACCCCAAACCGACACAGGUGGUCAGGUAGAGAAUACUCAGGCGCUUGAGAGAACUCGGGUGAAGGAACUAGGCAAAAUGGUGCCGUAACUUCGGGAGAAGGCACGCUGGCGGUAGGUAAAGUCCCUCGCGGACGGCGCUGAAGCCAGUCGAAGAUACCAGCUGGCUGCAACUGUUUAUUAAAAACACAGCACUGUGCAAACACGAAAGUGGACGUAUACGGUGUGACGCCUGCCCGGUGCUGGAAGGUUAAUUGAUGGGGUCAGCCGCAAGGCGAAGCUCCUGAUCGAAGCCCCAGUAAACGGCGGCCGUAACUAUAACGGUCCUAAGGUAGCGAAAUUCCUUGUCGGGUAAGUUCCGACCUGCACGAAUGGCGUAAUGAUGGCCAGGCUGUCUCCACCCGAGACUCAGUGAAAUUGAACUCGCUGUGAAGAUGCAGUGUACCCGCGGCAAGACGGAAAGACCCCGUGAACCUUUACUAUAGCUUGACACUGAACAUUGAGCCUUGAUGUGUAGGAUAGGUGGGAGGCUUUGAAGUGUGGACGCCAGUCUGCAUGGAGCCAACCUUGAAAUACCACCCUUUAACGUUUGAUGUUCUAACCUAGGCCCAUAAACUGGGUCGGGGACCGUGUCUGGUGGGUAGUUUGACUGGGGCGGUCUCCUCCUAAAGAGUAACGGAGGAGCACGAAGGUUGGCUAAGCAUGGUCGGACAUCAUGCGGUUAGUGCAAAGGCAUAAGCCAGCUUGACUGCGAGAGUGACGGCUCGAGCAGGUACGAAAGUAGGUCUUAGUGAUCCGGUGGUUCUGAAUGGAAGGGCCAUCGCUCAACGGAUAAAAGGUACUCCGGGGAUAACAGGCUGAUACCGCCCAAGAGUUCAUAUCGACGGCGGUGUUUGGCACCUCGAUGUCGGCUCAUCACAUCCUGGGGCUGAAGUAGGUCCCAAGGGUAUGGCUGUUCGCCAUUUAAAGUGGUACGCGAGCUGGGUUUAGAACGUCGUGAGACAGUUCGGUCCCUAUCUGCCGUGGGCGUUGGAAGAUUGAGAGGGGUUGCUCCUAGUACGAGAGGACCGGAGUGAACGCACCACUGGUGUUCGGGUUGUCAUGCCAAUGGCAUUGCCCGGUAGCUAAGUGCGGAAGAGAUAACCGCUGAAAGCAUCUAAGCGGGAAACUUGCCUCGAGAUGAGUCUUCCCUGUCACUUUAAGUGACCUAAAGGAACGUUUAAGACUAAGACGUUGAUAGGCUGGGUGUGUAAGCGUAGCGAUACGUUGAGCUAACCAGUACUAAUGAACCGUGAGGCUUAACCUGACAACACCGAAAGUGUUUUG